AACGAAAAUUGUUAUCGCAGGUAAUAAUAACGUAGCAAAUUGUAUUCAUUCGAAUAUUCUACUUAUAAAUACUAUAGAUUAAUAUGAAUAUGGCUUAAAUAUAGAGAUAUAUCAGUUCAAUAGGGGACUAUUUAUCGCAACUCAAACAUUUUGUGGCUUAUCACGAGAUAGUUUGUCGAGCUUGUAGUCUUUUAGUAGAAUGUUGUGCAAAAGUGAAAUCCGUUUUAGUUUAAUAAAUUAUAUAAUAGUUUUAUUAUUCCAUACAAUAUUUUACACCGGUUUUUCGAAGUGUUCCAGUGACAUCAUGUUUCUAGAAAAUUCUAAAUUGAUUUUUUGUAAACAGCGGUUAUAUAAUGAUACAAUUAUGAUUACUGAUAUUAAAUUGUGGAAAAGGCUGAGGAUAGCCAGAAAAAACUUUAUCGGAAAAAUACGUUUCUACGAAGAAGGUUAUACGAAGAACAAUGAUUCAACAUGCUAAAGAUUCCAACGCUGUUCAAUGAAAGUAAUAAAUCUUAAUAAGGUACACAGAAUCCUUCGUGUGACCAAUUUACAAGAUACGUGUUAAAAUUUCAUACUUUAAUAACAUUUAGAAGAAAAUACUCAAGAAAAUUUAAGAAGAUAUGACUAAAGAGUUCAUUCCCAUAUCAAAAGAAAGACAUGUGAACGAAGAAUGAUUUAUAAUAACUUUUAUUGAAGAAUUACGCAGAAAUCUAUACAUUUCAAUCAUUUCUAUUAAUUACUAGACGUUCAAAUAAUUAUGUUUGAACAUUCAUAAUCUUUAUAACCUGAAAACUGCUGCUAUUAUCGACACGUUAUAUUUCAAAGAGAAAACUGAUCACAAGGAGAUUUAAAAAAAAUAUUUAUCUUUAAAUGUAACUUUUUGGAAGAAGAAAAUUACAAUGGUAUGCUAUUGGAUUUAAAUAUCGUUGUUAUAAAUGGAGAUGAAGUCGUUGCUAUACUCCGUCGACUACGCGAUACAUCCAAGACGUUGUCCAUGCAGAGAUUUCCUUCAACACCAUUAUUUAAACCACAUUUUUUUAAUAAAAACCUAGAGACUGUGUUAUGAACUUGUGCAUAACGGAACUUGAAUCCAGAUCAAACAGAAACUAUCACAGUCAAUGCGGGCGGGUUGGAUGGUCGCCCAGGGCGCUGGACAGAAAGGAGCGACACAGGACUGCCAAUUUAGUAUUCUUACAUCAACCAGUUAACCCCCCUUCCCAUCUAGUAGCAGGUAAAAAGAGACGCCGUAGAAAGCUCGACCAGGGCGCUGCACACACUGCCCAUGAUUGUUAUUGUUUGUACUGUAAUGUUUAAUUCAAAUGUAUUUAAGUAAUGAAAAAAAACUAC